AAAUUAGUAGCAGUUCAAAGUACAUCGAAACUUUUGCCUAUCGAGUUCGAACGAUUCUCUUUUCGAAUCUAACUUCUCGAACUUUUCAUUUUCCCGUAAUAUACAAUUCCCCUGUCGAAGAGGAGUCUUCGUUGAAGAAAAAAUAUCAGACCUCGGCACAUUCCAUCAGAAUCACUGUGGAAACCAAGAUUUUCUUUGAAACGCGUAUUCUCUUAUUCGUUCGGGUGAAAACGCCAAAGGAAAUAGGAAAGUUGUAUCUUAUGGCGAAGGAGGAAGGGAAAAAGGAGGGGAGGACAUGAAGUAAGAAUGGGAAGGGCAAAAAUAAAGAAAGAAACUGCUUUUCAACGCGAGAGAGCGACAGGAUAAAGAGAGGAAUGGUGUAAGAGGGAAAUGAAGAGAAGGAAAGGAAAAAGAACGACUAAGGGGGUAACUUUAUCUGCGCUAGCAGAAGCGGCCCUCGAGUUCGAUUUUGCGCUGCUCACUAAGUUACCUGAUCUGCUCUCCAUUGUCUUGUGAUAACUUUGUGAUACCUGGCUAAGGAUUUCCUUAGAUACGCCGUCUCCGGCUUGUUCCCUGAACGAGAAGAAAGACGAAGCAUAGGGCUUAAGUCGUGAAACUUUCCCAACAAGCCAAACUCCCUCCACCCCGGUUGAGGGUGUUGCAAAAGUCGUAUAUUCGCGAAAUGAUCCCGUGCGCGGUACUUCCACGUGACUCUUGCUACUUCAACGAGGAAACAGCAUUCCUUUUCGUUUAUGUACUUUAUGAUAUGGUCGCGUAUUCGCAACUACGCAAGCACGUGUUCCAAAGGGUACAAUAUGAUUAUCGACCGAGUUUACACGAAAUGUUAUCUGGCAGAUAAAAUGAAGUCAAGUGGAACGUUCGGCAUUGCAUUGUUGUUAUUGUCUUUUGAUCUUUACGUUUUAUUGUUCUGCGCGAUUAAUUAUCAUUAUGGGAGGAUAAUGGAACGGAAACACCAGGAUUUGCCAGUUGGAUACCUCUGGAUUUAUAUAUAAAUAAGCUUUACGGUAACACCUUGCUCAUUUUAAAUUAGUACAAUGUUUGACUAAGACGGCAAUUAAUUUAAAUUUAUCUUUGUUCAGAAAAUUGAUUAUUUGAUCCGUUCGUGCUUCAUUGCCCUUUAUGCAGGAACAGUGAUGACGAAGAAUGAACAAAAGGAAAAUUAACUCUCAAAUAUUCCCGAUCACUUUUAUGUUAUUCAAAAUGUAUCGCUUUCGGGACACAACGCGAUGCGUAUUUAUACGCGACGAUAUUAAUCUUCCUUUAGUAAAUCCUUUGUUUUCUGAAACGGGUUUACGUUUCGAGAUCAAAGUGAAAGAAAAUAAAAGCAAAGCAGAUAAUAUUUGUCACAUUUUACGAAUCGCUAUUCUGGCAUUUCUUUUACGGCACCUAUCAACGUAAAAGCUUAUUGACAGUUCAGGCACCUUCUUUUUGCUUAAUGAAACAAAAAAUAGUUUAAGUACUUAAGUGGUAAAUUAUCAAAAGGAAUUGGAAAUCCUAUCGUACCUAAAAAUUAGUUACAAUUAUUUAAUCAUAUCUUCAUCGGCUACUAUAAUUUUUAAAAAUUUUACUGUUAAAAAUUUCGAAUUCUUGUCUCUGUUCCUUUAUUUUAUUCUUUGACAAUUUAACAUCACAUCAAUAAGGUUAUCUGUUCUGGUUGUAAAAAGAUUAGAUUUUAUGGUAAAGAUUAAGAAUUUAAGAAUGGUUUUAUAUGGUCUUGAUAGAUUAAGGUAAUAUUCGCCUUUGUAAUUUUCAUAUGUAAAUGAUACUGUAUAUACCUACAUUUAUAUACAAGGUGGUGAAUCGUUAGGUAUAGAUCUGUGACAACAAUUGUAAUAAAAGAGUUCUUAUCUUCUUUAAUAAAUAUUCAUGUGUGAUUUUUGA